UACGGGGGGGGCAAGCGUUGUUCGGAAUUACUGGGCGUAAAGGGCUCGUAGGCGGCCAACUAAGUCCGACGUGAAAUCCCCAGCUUAACCUGGGAACUGCGUCGGAUACUGGAUGGCUUGAAUUCGGGAGAGGGAUGCAGAAUUCCAGGUGUAGCGGUGAAAUGCGUAGAUAUCUGGAGGAAUACCGGUGGCGAAGGCGGCAUCCUGGACCA
rnacentral:rRNA from 1 species